GUACCGCAGAGUUUAGAUUUUAAUGAACUUACAAAAACACAUAUGAAUUUAUAUGCAUGUACACAUUCAAGAAGGACCAGAGAACCCAAGACUCGGAAGGGGAGAAAGAAUGCACACGUAGUGCCUGCUCAGCGAAUCUCAAAAGAGGAACUAGGAGUCGCAUGACUAUUGUGUCGCAAGGGUAUCCGUUGGAAAAACCCAGAUGGUCUGAGAGAUUGUGUCACACAGCCAGUAUAAAUAAGGCUGCUUUCUCAGUGUUAGUUGUUGCAUCUUGCUAGAAGAUUUUUGCGUGCAUCCCUGAAGGUAAUCAUUCUUCAGUCCAGCUUGCUGGAACAUAUAUUGCUUUAACUGCUUAGCUGUAUGAUGUUAACUUAACCUGCUCAUAGAAGGACAAGGUUAGUUAUUCAUUUGAUACUUGAACUGUGUAUGUUAAGAAAAACUUUGUGACUGAACCACUUAUACAGGACUGCCCUGUUAAGUUGGGAGAAACUGAGGUAUUAUAAUCUGUAACCUUUUCUUUUGUUGCUACUAUUAACAAUCAUUGUGUAACCAGUGUUAUUAUCGUUUGUAUAAAUAAAUUUUCAUUUUAUAAAGAUAAAAGUUGAAUAGUUCUUUGCCUCGGGUCACAAUACCAGUUCUAUAAGCAAUAGUAAGAGCAUUAAAGCAACCCUUGCGAGGGCAAGAGGUCACCAGGACUCCACGGAAGCAUCUCCACGGAGGAAUGGGAUUCCUUGGAAGUGCCUUCUGGACCUGGGAGCGGACGGUGUUUGGCCACCUGGACUGAGCAGUUCCAGCUCUACCUCGUAAGCUUGAGAGAGAGAGGCCGACCGCUAUCAGGCCCAGGAGAGGCU